AUGAUUAUACUGGAUCUUUUUGAUAGGUGGCUUAAAAAAAAGGUUUUGUUUUUUCUUCUGACUUGGCUUUCAAGCCAAGAAGAGCCCACCUUCUCUGAAAGAAUUUGUUGUCAUGCGACAGCAAGACCUCAAAGGCAACCUGACUGGCUUCUGGGUGAAGAACCGCUAGUGCCCUGUUGCUUCAUGAAUGCUAAGAGACAUCACAGGUUAGAGGAAAAGAGAUAAGAAUAAGAGAAUAAUAAGCUGCAGAAGCCCACACUACUGAUCUGGCCACAAUUUCCCCAACUUCCUCUUGCAACUCAGGACAGCUUCCAGGAAAGCUUGUACAGGAUCUAGUCUUUCUGUAAGGAAUUGCUCACUCAUGAUGAGAUUCAGCAAUCCAACUUUAAUGUCAGACUAUGUGGUAAGUGCUUUCUUGUGCUUUGCUAUUACUCGUAAUGAUGAAAACACAAUUUUCUAAAGUUGAAAUGGAAUGCUGAUGAUAUGAAAAGAUUUUGCAUUGAUAUUUAAAUGACUGAAAUAUAUAAUUAGUAUUAAAACGC
rnacentral:lncRNA from 1 species